rnacentral:rRNA from 1 species
UCCUACGGGGGGCAGCAGUGGGGAAUAUUGGGCAAUGGGGGAAACCCUGACCCAGCAACGCCGCGUGAGUGAAGAAGGCCUUCGGGUUGUAAAGCUCUGUCAUUAGGGAAGAAGAAGUGACGGUACCUAAUGAGGAAGCCCCGGCUAACUACGUGCCAGCAGCCGCGGUAAUACGUAGGGGGCGAGCGUUGUCCGGAAUUACUGGGCGUAAAGGGUGCGUAGGCGGCGUGUUAAGUUGGAUGUGAAAUACCCGGGCUUAACCUGGGGGGUGCAUUCGAUACUGGCAGGCUAGAGUGCAGGAGAGGGAAGCGGAAUUCCUAGUGUAGCGGUGAAAUGCGUAGAUAUUAGGAGGAACACCAGUGGCGAAGGCGGCUUUCUGGACUGUAACUGACGCUGAUGCACGAAAGCGUGGGGAGCAAACAGGAUUAGAUACCCCAGUAGUC